rnacentral:rRNA from 1 species
AAUGAACGUUGGCGGCGUGGAUUAGGCAUGCAAGUCGAGCGAGAACCCCGCAAGGGGGGACAGCGGCGCAAGGGACAGUAAUGUGUAGAUUAUCUGCCCUCAGGUCCGGGAUAGCUGCGGGAAACUGCAGGUAAUACCGGAUAACAUCUCCGGAUCAAAGGUGUGAUUCCGCCUGAGGAUGAGUCUGCAUCCUAUUAGCUAGUUGGUGGGGUAAUGGCCUACCAAGGCAUUGAUGGGUAGCAGGUGUGAGAGCACGACCUGCGUCAUUGGGACUGAGACACUGCCCAGACACCUACGGGUGGCUGCAGUCGAGAAUCUUCGGCAAUGGGCGCAAGCCUGACCGAGCGACGCCGCGUGUGGGAUGAAGGCCUGCGGGUUGUAAACCACUGUCAGAGGGGAUGAAAUGCAGGUGGGUUCUCCCAUCUGUUUGACAUAGCCUCAGAGGAAGGACGGGCUAAGUUCGUG